rnacentral:rRNA from 2 species
GCCUAAUACAUGCAAGUCGAACGAACUCUGGUAUUGAUUGGUGCUUGCAUCAUGAUUUACAUUUGAGUGAGUGGCGAACUGGUGAGUAACACGUGGGAAACCUGCCCAGAAGCGGGGGAUAACACCUGGAAACAGAUGCUAAUACCGCAUAACAACUUGGACCGCAUGGUCCGAGUUUGAAAGAUGGCUUCGGCUAUCACUUUUGGAUGGUCCCGCGGCGUAUUAGCUAGAUGGUGAGGUAACGGCUCACCAUGGCAAUGAUACGUAGCCGACCUGAGAGGGUAAUCGGCCACAUUGGGACUGAGACACGGCCCAAACUCCUACGGGAGGCAGCAGUAGGGAAUCUUCCACAAUGGACGAAAGUCUGAUGGAGCAACGCCGCGUGAGUGAAGAAGGGUUUCGGCUCGUAAAACUCUGUUGUUAAAGAAGAACAUAUCUGAGAGUAACUGUUCAGGUAUUGACGGUAUUUAACCAGAAAGCCACGGCUAACUACGUGCCAGCAGCCGCGGUAAUACGUAGGUGGCAAGCGUUGUCCGGAUUUAUUGGGCGUAAAGCGAGCGCAGGCGGUUUUUUAAGUCUGAUGUGAAAGCCUUCGGCUCAACCGAAGAAGUGCAUCGGAAACUGGGAAACUUGAGUGCAGAAGAGGACAGUGGAACUCCAUGUGUAGCGGUGAAAUGCGUAGAUAUAUGGAAGAACACCAGUGGCGAAGGCGGCUGUCUGGUCUGUAACUGACGCUGAGGCUCGAAAGUAUGGGUAGCAAACAGGAUUAGAUACCCUGGUAGUCCAUACCGUAAACGAUGAAUGCUAAGUGUUGGAGGGUUUCCGCCCUUCAGUGCUGCAGCUAACGCAUUAAGCAUUCCGCCUGGGGAGUACGGCCGCAAGGCUGAAACUCAAAGGAAUUGACGGGGGCCCGCACAAGCGGUGGAGCAUGUGGUUUAAUUCGAAGCUACGCGAAGAACCUUACCAGGUCUUGACAUACUAUGCAAAUCUAAGAGAUUAGACGUUCCCUUCGGGGACAUGGAUACAGGUGGUGCAUGGUUGUCGUCAGCUCGUGUCGUGAGAUGUUGGGUUAAGUCCCGCAACGAGCGCAACCCUUAUUAUCAGUUGCCAGCAUUAAGUUGGGCACUCUGGUGAGACUGCCGGUGACAAACCGGAGGAAGGUGGGGAUGACGUCAAAUCAUCAUGCCCCUUAUGACCUGGGCUACACACGUGCUACAAUGGAUGGUACAACGAGUUGCGAACUCGCGAGAGUAAGCUAAUCUCUUAAAGCCAUUCUCAGUUCGGAUUGUAGGCUGCAACUCGCCUACAUGAAGUCGGAAUCGCUAGUAAUCGCGGAUCAGCAUGCCGCGGUGAAUACGUUCCCGGGCCUUGUACACACCGCCCGUCACACCAUGAGAGUUUGUAACACCCAAAGUCGGUGGGGUAACCUUUUAGGAACCAGC